CUAUUUUUUUUCCAAUAUCUGUAUGUGUCUGUGCGAGUUUUCAGACUAUUGAAAGGCUUUUUCUCUGUUUAUUUUUAGCACUUAUGGUUUUAUUUUACAAAUGCGUAUAUUUAUAAAACCAUUGUUUCUCGGAUUCUAAUCUAUAAAGGUGUUUCAGAAUCGCGUGAAAACUUUUGUCCAUAAGAAACUAUCCUUAGCCUAUCCCCC
rnacentral:lncRNA from 1 species